UUGCUGACGAGUGGCGGACGGGUGAGUAAUGUCUGGGAAACUGCCUGAUGGAGGGGGAUAACUACUGGAAACGGUAGCUAAUACCGCAUAACGUCGCAAGACCAAAGAGGGGGACCUUCGGGCCUCUUGCCAUCGGAUGUGCCCAGAUGGGAUUAGCUAGUAGGUGGGGUAACGGCUCACCUAGGCGACGAUCCCUAGCUGGUCUGAGAGGAUGACCAGCCACACUGGAACUGAGACACGGUCCAGACUCCUACGGGAGGCAGCAGUGGGGAAUAUUGCACAAUGGGCGCAAGCCUGAUGCAGCCAUGCCGCGUGUAUGAAGAAGGCCUUCGGGUUGUAAAGUACUUUCAGCGGGGAGGAAGGGAGUAAAGUUAAUACCUUUGCUCAUUGACGUUACCCGCAGAAGAAGCACCGGCUAACUCCGUGCCAGCAGCCGCGGUAAUACGGAGGGUGCAAGCGUUAAUCGGAAUUACUGGGCGUAAAGCGCACGCAGGCGGUUUGUUAAGUCAGAUGUGAAAUCCCCGGGCUCAACCUGGGAACUGCAUCUGAUACUGGCAAGCUUGAGUCUCGUAGAGGGGGGUAGAAUUCCAGGUGUAGCGGUGAAAUGCGUAGAGAUCUGGAGGAAUACCGGUGGCGAAGGCGGCCCCCUGGACGAAGACUGACGCUCAGGUGCGAAAGCGUGGGGAGNCAACAGGAUUAGAUACCCUGGUAGUCCACGCCGUAAACGAUGUCGACUUGGAGGUUGUGCCCUUGAGGCGUGGCUUCCGGAGCUAACGCGUAAAGUCGACCGCCUGGGGAGUACGGC
rnacentral:rRNA from 1 species